rnacentral:tRNA from 1 species
GGUCGUAGCUUAGUGGUAGAGUGCUUGCCUAGCAUGCAAGAAGCCCAGGGUUCAAUCUCUAGCACCA